ACGCUCGACACCUACGGGGAGGCAGCAGGUGGGGAAUAUUGCACAAGUGGGGGAAACCCUGAUGCAGCGACGCCGCGUGGAGGAAGAAGGUCUUCGGAUUGUAAACUCCUGUUGUUAGGGGAAAAAGAGGAUGGUACCCAACAAGGAAGUGACGGCUAACUACGUGUCAGCAGCCGCGGUAAUCUGAGCGGGCUGGCAAGGC
rnacentral:rRNA from 1 species